rnacentral:rRNA from 1 species
UACGUAGGGUGCAAGCGUUGUCCGGAAUUAUUGGGCGUAAAGAGCUCGUAGGCGGUUUGUUGCGUCGGCUGUGAAAUCCCGAGGCUCAACCUCGGGUCUGCAGCCGAUACGGGCAGGCUAGAGUUCGGUAGGGGAGAUUGGAAUUCCUGGUGUAGCGGUGGAAUGCGCAGAUAUCAGGAGGAACACCGAUGGCGAAGGCAGAUCUCUGGGCCGUAACUGACGCUGAGGAGCGAAAGCGUGGGGAGCGAACAGG